GUGUGGCAGCUGUUUGGGAGGGGAAGUGAGGCGCCUUAAGAGUUAGUCAGGGUGUUUAGUGACAGCCAGUGAGUGGUGUUCCUCCCCUCACAGUGUGUGUGUGUGUGUCUUGUCCUCAUCAGUUCUUGCAGUCUUACUACUUUAAGCAAUAUUUGUAGAUAUUCUCCGUGCAGUGUAAGAGGUGGUCGUGACGUCCAGUACCAAGGUGAAGUGACGUCAAGUAACAUGUGGCGACACAGCCUGGUGGUGUUGUUGCUGUGGGCGGUGCUCGUUCAGUCAACAAGUAGCGGAGACUGCUCUGGACCAUGCAAACGCCGAGACUCGAAUGGACAGUGCAGGACCAUGUUUUCCUGCCAGUCGCAGACUGGUGAAGGGCCCCGAGAUAGCCCUUCUAUCUUCAACAUCCCCUGUAGUAGGCGUUGCUACUCUUUGGUCCGAGGCCGCUGUCGUCUCAAGUUUUCGUGCCUACUUGGUUAACCUGACUAUACUGUACACAUUCCUUCCUGAAAGGUGGCUUGGGCUUGGGUGCACGCCCCUCUUGCACUUUACGCUAUAAGGUUCCACCUAAAUAUUACUUAAUUAAAGGAAGUUAGAAGCUUAUUUGUUUGACUAUAGGAAGUCAAAAAGUGUGGAGCGUAAUUUGUAUUUGUCAAGCCAAAGCUCCUUCACGUAGUAUUCACACAGGUAUUGCAGCUGCUGCUAAUUUUGUAAGCUGGGGUGAUGUUAAAUUGCAAUAUUGAGUGCUGGGUGCUGCUAAAUUGGUAGUGUUACGUACACAUUUCUCAAAAUUAAAUGAGUUCUUCCCUUAAUACUUUCACUGCGAUAGUUUGGUGAAAGUUUACAUUAUAUAAAUUAGUGUUUAAACUAAAGUAAUGUACUGCUUUAGUACAACAGAUGAUGAAGACGUACUACUGUAAAAUACUCCUCACUAUUAACGUAUGGGUGAAGUGUUGAGUGAGUGAGCUAUAGUGUGAGUGAAGUGUUGUGUGAGUGAGCUAUAGUGUGAGUGAAGUGUUGUGUGAGUGAGCUGUAGUGUGAGUGAAGUGUUGUGUGAGUGA